UACGAAGGGGGCUAGCGUUGCUCGGAAUGACUGGGCGUAAAGGGCUCGUAGGCGGUUCGUCACGUCGGGAGUGAAAACUCGGGGCUUAACCCCGAGCCUGCUUCCGAUACGGGCAGACUAGAGUGUGGUAGGGGAGACUGGAAUUCACGGUGUAGCAGUGAAAUGCGUAGAUAUCGUGAGGAACACCAGAGGCGAAGGCGGCUACCUGGACAAUUGCUGACGCUCAGGCACGAAAGCGUGGGGAGCAAACAGG
rnacentral:rRNA from 1 species